UACGGAGGGAGCUAGCGUUGUUCGGAAUUACUGGGCGUAAAGCGCACGUAGGCGGCUUUUUAAGUCAGGGGUGAAAUCCCGGAGCUCAACUCCGGAACUGCCCUUGAAAUUGGGAAGCUAGAAUCUUGGAGAGGCGAGUGGAAUUCCGAGUGUAGAGGUGAAAUUCGUAGAUAUUCGGAAGAACACCAGUGGCGAAGGCGACUCGCUGGACAAGUAUUGACGCUGAGGUGCGAAAGCGUGGGGAGCAAACAGG
rnacentral:rRNA from 1 species